rnacentral:rRNA from 1 species
GAUGAACGCUAGCGGCAGGCUUAACACAUGCAAGUCGAGGGGUAACAGAGAAAGCUUGCUUUUUGCUGACGACCGGCGCACGGGUGCGUAACGCGUAUGCAAUCUACCUUUUGCUAAGGGAUAGCCCAGAGAAAUUUGGAUUAAUACCUCAUAGUAUGUUUUUAUGGCAUCAUAUAGACAUUAAAGGUUACGGUAUAAGAUGAGUAUGCGUCCUAUUAGCUAGAUGGUAAGGUAACGGCUUACCAUUGCUACGAUAGGUAGGGGCCCUGAGAGGGGGAUCCCCCACACUGGUACCGAGACACGGACCAG